rnacentral:rRNA from 1 species
UACGUAGGGUGCGAGCGUUGUCCGGAUUUAUUGGGCGUAAAGGGCUCGUAGGCGGCCUGUCGCGUCGGGAGUGAAAGCCCACUGCUUAACGGUGGGUCUGCUUUCGGUACGGGCGGGCUAGAGUAUGGCAGGGGAGACUGGAAUUCCCGGUGUAGCGGUGAAAUGCGCAGAUAUCGGGAGGAACACCGGUGGCGAAGGCGGUUCUCUGGGCCUGUACUGACGCUGAGGAGCGAAAGCGUGGGGAGCGAACAGG